AUUUACUCAUUUUUUAAUAUUUUCUUUCAUCAUUCAUUUGAUUUCAUUAACUCAAACUUUGGUAAUCUUAAUUACAGACAUUUCUCAGACAAAGAAAUACAAGCAACAAAUAAAUAUAUGAAAAAUUGCUGAACAUCACUGGUCAUUCGAGACAUGCAGAUGAAAAUAACAGUGAGAUUUCACCUCACUCCGGAAAGAAUGGCUGCCCAGCUAUGGAAUUCCAAGACAUAAUUCCAUUUUGGCUUCCGGUCACAACUGAGACCUCAAUGAUCCAGUGAUGCUGUGAUUCUCCAGGACAAGAAACAUCCUGGGAGCUGAAAACACGCUGGGAGGAACAAUCAUCUACUCAGUUCCUCAUUGUUCUUGGACUGUUACCAUCUUGUUUACGUGGAUGUACUGAACUCUCUGCAAGUCAUUUGUUACAUUUAUUUCUCCCAAUGUACUGAGUUCUGAAUAAAAGGUGCGGUAAGUCUUUGCCGCCCAGAGCAGCACUGAUCAGACCCAAAGCUCAGCUUCUUAGUCUCAUUUUUCUACCUUUCCUGUAAUUCGCCAAGUACUGCAGUGGCUCGCAGGAGACUAGGACUUAACUGCAGAGGUUCUAGUAACGUCCCCUUUCCUUGUUCCCUAUAUGUAUCUUAAUCACUUUCUCUUUGAUAGAUCAAAAUAUCCAAACCACAACUUAAAAGUGAAGAGGUUUACUUUGGCUCACAAUUUUCAAAGGAUUUAAUCCAUUGUCCAUAGUCAGUUUACUACAGCAAAGAAACAUCAUGGAUGUAGAGCCUGGGCAGAGAACGGUUGCUAAUUCAAUUUCUGCUAGAAAGCAGAGAAUGAGGGAAGAGAUACACUCCCAGGUCACACACUCAGUGGCCUUCCUCUUUGGUGGAGAUUCCACCUCCUAACAGCACACUUAGCUCUGAACUCUUCAAUGGAGUAAUUCACCCUCAUAAUCCUAUCACCUUUCAAAAGCCCCCAUCUCUGUACAAAAGAGGCCUUUAGAUAAUAUUCUGGAUCUGAAUUAUAACAUUCUGCCCCUGAUCCCCACAAGAUUUAUGUCUAUCUCUUUAUACAAAAUGCAUUUAGUCAAACUCUAAGAGUUAUCAAAAUUGUAACUAUUCUGAUAUGUUUGCAAAUCCAAGUCAAAACUCUCCUCUGAGAUGCAAAGAAAUUCUUACCCCUUGAGAUCCUGCAAAAAUCCAAAAUAAAGUUAAACACUGCCAAUAUGCAAGGCAUAGGUUAAACAUUUCUGUCCCAAAGGUAGAAAUAGAGGGCUAGAAUGGAAUGGGUCGAGAGCAAGCUUUGCCCAGCAGUGAAAAAUUUAAAUCUUGUGUAUUUGUGUCCAAUAUUUGGGGUAAGUUGUGGAAUGAUGUGAACUCCAAAGGGCUUGAGUAACUCCAACUUUAGGGCAUUGCCAGUUUCAUCCCUUCUAAAAUCUUCCUUGGAAUAGGUAUACUCAGUACCUGCAGCUUUCUCCAGGAGAUAUUCCACAUUCCUGGCUUAUCCAGCUUCCUUAUUUCUCAAGCACACUCAUUGCUUCACUCUCACAGCUUCACACUUACCUCUCAGGGACACAUUCACUACCUGACCUCCCAGGCCCUCUUCUGUAAUCUGAUUAAAAGCUUCUUGACCAUAUAACUUUUAUAUUCUGUAUUCUUGUAAAACCAGCAUCAUAUCAAUGAUGUCAAGUGCUCGUGGUGGCUGAAGCAGUAAUUUAGUCCCAGUGGAUCAGGGUUGAUAAGACCUCUGAGUAACUGAAUGAUUGAGCACUGUGAAACAGGUCAUGAUGAAUCCAGUCAGUAUGUGGCUAUUCUCUAACAAGGGACUUAGCAGUGCUAUUGUCAAAUAAAUUUUUAAAUUUUUGCACUCUCAAGCCUGUGAAUGGUCAGGCUGUGUUGAUUCCAGAAAUGCCUUCAAAGCAUAUUUCCUAUUGUCCCAAUGUAAAACAUUUAAUUUCUUUUUAAUUCAAAUCAUUUUAGCAGCUAUACUUUCCUUGGGACUUUCUGUAGUCCCUUUCUGUUGAAACUGCAAAUGCUUCACUCCUUAACAUUUCCUCCUGAUUCUUACUAUAAAUCUCACUAAAACAGCAAGAAUUACACAUUCCACAACCUGAAU
ensembl:lncRNA